rnacentral:rRNA from 1 species
AUUGAACGCUGGCGGCAGGCUUAACACAUGCAAGUCGAGCGGGGGAAGGUAGCUUGCUACCGGACCUAGCGGCGGACGGGUGAGUAAUGCUUAGGAGUCUGCCUAUUAGUGGGGGACAACAUCUCGAAAGGGAUGCUAAUACCGCAUACGUCCUACGGGAGAAAGCAGGGGAUCUUCGGACCUUGCGCUAAUAGAUGAGCCUAAGUCGGAUUAGCUAGUUGGUGGGGUAAAGGCCUACCAAGGCGACGAUCUGUAGCGGGUCUGAGAGGAUGAUCCGCCACACUGGGACUGAGACCCGGCCCAGACUCCUACGGGAGGCAGCAGUGGGGAAUAUUGGACAAUGGGGGGAACCCUGAUCCAGCCAUGCCGCGUGUGUGAAGAAGGCCUUAUGGUUGUAAAGCACUUUAAGCGAGGAGGAGGCUACUUUAGUUAAUACCUAGAGAUAGUGGACGCUACUCGCAGAAUAAGCACCGGCUAACUCUGUGCCAGCAGCCGCAGUAA